rnacentral:tRNA from 1 species
GGAGUUGGUAUCUCAGUGGUAGAGUGCAUUCGUUGUUUGUAUGACGCCCUGGGUUCAAAUCCCAGCAGCUCCC